AGGAGCGAAGACCGUCGUUACUACGGCAACAGCGUCCCGGCGGCAGGAGAAGGUGGAAGUAGAGUGGGGUGCUGCUGUUACGGGUGGCUCUGCUUCCCGCCUCCGCUGGGCGGCAGGUAACGCCUGCAGCUGCCGCACCCAGAGCCCGCCCGAAGCUCAGCAAGGAUAUGUGUCCGGGAGCAGCGGGGUCCGCUCGGAGUGACGCGGCAGAAAGGCCCCGUGUCGUCCGGCGGGAAGGGAAAGGGUGCCUCGGAGCAAGCGCGGACGUGGCUAAUGGCAUUGCCUUGUGGCUACCAAAAUUCUGAGUGCUGCUGCGCGGCUUUCUGCUCUGGAGGCCAGAACAAGGGGCUCUGCUGGGGCAGGCACUUCCUGCGAGCUCAGCAGCGGGCUGGGUGCUGCUGAGCCUUGUGCACUCACAGGAGUGAUGCUGCAGGCUUUGCUUUGGGGCUGUAGCAGGGCUAAGGAAAGGCAGCCUGGCAGCUGAAAGCCUCCGCUGUUGUGUUCAGUGGGAAUAAAGAAGUGAUUUUAGAAUGGGACCAUCACUUCUGCUGUUCUAUUAGCUGAGAGUUCUUUCACCUCUUCUUGGAGGUACUUGAUACAAAGUCUUUAUAUAGGAUGGAAAUGGGUCAGUAGUCUGUCCUAGAGCAUGUUAUGAUCACCAGAAUGACCUGUUCAUGGUGCAGAAGUAUGGGACAGAAGAGGAAGGAGCUUGUGUGUAUAUAAAUGUCUUGCACUUCCUUAUUUGAAGUGUUGCAGCUUGCGUUGUGCUUGUGGGCUCUCACCUGAUGGGGGAUUUCAGCCAUCUGGAUAUCUGCUGGGGAAGCAAUGCAACAGGCUGCAAGCGAUCCAGAAGAUUUCCUGGAGUGCACUGAGGACAACUUCCUGGUCCGAGUAUUAGACAAACCAAUGAGAGAAGUGUUACUGGACCUGGUGCUCACCAGUGCAGGGGAGUUCACUGAAGAGGUUAAAAUUGGAGGUGGUCUGAGCUGCAGCAACCAUACCCUGGUUGAGUUUGUGAUGUCAAGGAAUAAGGACCUGGUAAAAAGCAUUGUCAGGACCGUGAACUUCACAAGAGCAGAAUUCUAUCUGUUUAAGGAGUUAUUGGGUGAGAUCACCUGGGAAGCUGUCCUUAAGGACAGAAGAACAGAGCAUAGCUGGCACCUCUUCAAGGACUAUUUGCUAGGAGCACAAAAGCUUUCCAUGUCCCAGUGUAUGAAAUCAAUCAGGGCAGGCAGGAAACUGGCAUGGCUGAGGAAAGACUUGCUGGUCAAACUGAAGGCUAAGAAGUAAAUGCACAGGCUGUGGAAGCAGGGAUAUAUGGCCUAGAAAGAGUACAGGGAUGCCCUCUGGAUGUGUAGAGAUGUAAUCAGAAGGCCAAGGUGCAGACAGAACUGAACCUGUCAAGGGAUUGAAAAAUAACAAAAAAAAGAGAUUCUAUAGGUACACUGGUCAGGAGAGAAAGGCCAAGGAGACUGUACCCCCUCUGAUAAAUGAAAAGGGAGAAGUGUUAUCAACAAACAUGGAGAAGGCUGAGGUACUCAGUGAGUUCUUUGCCUCAGUCUUCACUGGCAGUCAGACUUCCCAUGUCUCUCAUAUCCCUGAACCUCUAAACAGAGGUUGAGGGAGCAAAAUUCCUCCCACUGUAAGAAAAGAGCAAGUUUGAGACCACCUGAUGAGACUGAAAGAGUACAAGUCUAUGGGGCUUGAUAACAUGUAUCCCAGUGUUCUGAAGGAAUUGGAUGAUGUAGUUGCCAAGCCACUCUCAAUCAUAUUUUAGAAGUCAUGGCUGACUGGUAGGGUAGACAGGAAGACCUGGGAAUUACAGAUCCGUGAACCUCACCUCUGUGCCUGGAAGGAUCAUGGAGCAGAUCCUCCUGGAAUCUAUGUCAAGACUUAUGCGAGUCAAGGAGAUGUUCCGAGACAGUUGUCAUGACUUCAUCAAGGGCAGAUCGUGCCUGACCAGUCUGGAGGCCUUCAGUGAUAGAGUGACAACAUCAGCGGACAAAGGAAGAGCAACUAAUGUUGCCUACCUGGACAUUCUGCAAGGUCUGUGAUGUGGUCCCACACCACAUCAUUAUCUCUAAAUUGGAGAGAUAUGGAUUUGAAGGGUGGACACCUCAGUGGAUGAAGAAUUGGUUAGAUGGUUGCAGCCAGAGCGCUUUAGUCAAUGGCUCUAUGUCCAGGUGGGGGCUGGUGACAUGUCGUCCCUUGGGUCUGUCUUGAAACCAGUGCUCUUCAACAUCUUUUAUCAAUGAUUUUAUGAAUGAUUGAGUGAAACCUCAGCAAGUUUGCAGAUGACACUAAACUGAGUGGUUGAUACAACAGAAGGAAGGGAUGCUGUCCAAAGGAACCUGGACAAGCUUGAGAAGUGGAGUCACAUAAACCUAAUGAGGUUCAACAAGUGCAAGGUUCUGCACCUGUAUCAGGGCAAUCUCAGCCAUACCACUUCCUUUCAUGUCCUAUAUUCUUGUAUAUUCUGAUAAUUCUGGUAUAAACCCAGGGGAGACCAUGGCCAGAGUGACAAAUAUGGAAGACUUCAGUGCCUUACACUCGUCUUCUCGAGGAGUCACAUUUACUCCAGGACCUCGCUUUAAGUCAAACAGAGCAUUCAACUGGCAGCACUCAAUUAAAUCAGCUGCAGCUACAUCUGUGAGCUCUGUCCUAGAUCCUGUGUUCUCCUCCCAGGACACUGGAUAGAUCUUCAAAAGACAACUGAAAAAGAAGAUGAACUGAAAAAAGCAUUUCAGAUGCUUGAUGUUGCUCGGAACCUGACAGUCAUAAAGGAUGAAUUCAGGAGAGUGAUCAAAACUUUUCCAUAUAACAAACGCUGAAUUUGAUGCUAUGCUGACAGAGGUUUGGACUGAAAGACACAGGUAAAAUUGGUGGCAAUAAUUUUUAGAAAAACUCAGAGAUCCUGGGAGCACCUUUGAAAACAGGCAGCCAAUUCCUAUGAGAAAAAAAAAAAAGUCUUCUCCCUGCUCAGGGCUGUCCCUGGGCCCAAGUAGAUCGCUGCCUCUUUCCGCCUACCACAGUCUCUUGUCAAAUGUGGUAGUUCCUAGAAAUGCUGAAUGCUAGAUGAUUUCCAUAUUGAUGAAACAACAAUCACAAGAAAUUACUUUUGGGAUUACAUUUUUACAUGUGUUUUGCAUUACAUUGUGUUUCAAGUUAAAGACUUCCAAGAGCUAAUCCAAAUAACUGAUCCAGAUCAGACUGGACACCUUCAAUAUCAUGAAUUUUUCAAUUCGUUUGAAGAAAAAGAAUCUGUGCUGUCUCUAGAAGCUUUUGGUUCAUCUUAAGCAUAUGGAAAAGAAAAAGUUGGUGGAAGAGAUAUAGUUGGUGGAUAGAAUCAUAGAAUCACCAAGGUUGGAAAAGACCUGCAAGAUCAUCCAGUUCUACUGCCUACCUAUUAUCAAUAGUUCCCACUAGACCAUGUCCCCAAGUACAAUGUCUAA